rnacentral:rRNA from 1 species
AUUGACCGCUGGCGGCAGGCCUAACACAUGCAAGUCUAACGAGUGGCAGACGGGUGAGUAAUGUCUGGGAAACUGCCCGAUGGAGGGGGAUAACUCCUGGAAACGGUAGCUAAUAACGCAUACCAUCGGAUUUGCCCAGAUGGGAUUAGGUAUUAGGUGGGGUAAAGGCUGACCUAGGCGACGAUCCCUAGCUUGACUGAGAGGAUGACCAGCAAGACUGGAAAGGAGACACGGUCCAGACUCCUACGGGAGGCAGCAGUGGGGAAGAUUGCACAAGGGGCUGAAGCCUGAUGCAGCCAGUCCGCGUGUAUGAAGAAGGCCUUCGGGUUGUAAAGGACUUUCAGCGAGGAGGCGUUACCCGCAGAAGAAGCAACGGCUAACUCCGUGCCAGCAGCCGCGGUAAUUC